rnacentral:lncRNA from 1 species
GAGAUAGGGUUUCCUUCAGCGACACGAGUCUUUCUGUUCUCAUGUUGGGAGUGGGUUUUGUGCUGGAAUAAGUUGUUGAAAGGACAGCACUGCCUUUAAGAUAUAUCCAGGCAGAAGAGUUGGUGACUCAACGUUAGCUCACCACAGUCAUAAAACUGACUGAUUCUGGUGAGCACAGACACUGGAUAUCCCACCUGUCUGCGCACGGAAGAUGUUGCAACGAGGACCAUAGACUCUUCCUUGACCCCCCUCCAAACCCCUGGGGAUAAAAGCCAUGAGUAUCCUGGAAGCUUAGCUCAAGUCCACAGACAUGCUGCUCUGUGAAAGGACAGGUACUUUGCAAGCCCAUUGUGUGAGCAGCUGCAUGUCUAUAGAAAGUAAUACGGUGAUUCAUUGUUCUGCUGUAAGCUUCAAUAUUUGACAUAAAUUUUGUCAGGGCAACCUUCCCCCCUCUGCUUCCGCUUCUAAUAUUUAAUCGUAACACAUUGUGGUUGCAACAAGCUGAAACCAUUGAGAUUAAAAAAUGAGUUGUAAAAAAAAAAGUGGAGAAGCACAUCCUUUGUGGUGAAUACUAAUCUUGCAAAGCAUUUUAUUUCCGGGGAGGCUGCCAAGAGCAAGUGCGGAAGAGUCGGGAUUGAAAUGACUCAUGGCAUCUGCAGCCUCAGGAGGUCAGAGAAGCAGACAAGGAGAAUAGUCAAGGGCUUGCCCUGGAGGUGGAAGAGCAUUCCAGCCAGCAGGCAGAGCAAAGCUAUGCCUGGAAGGGAGGGUUCCAAACCUGCACAUGCUGGGUCCAGCACCUUCCCUUUUCUGGAUUAGCUUCCUGCCCGUGGAACAUUCUCCUCUCUUGAGUCAAUCAAUUCUGCAAGACUGGAUUGCUUACUCUUGGUUCACUGAACUCUGGUGGGCUGUCUUAGAAAUGACUCCUCUGCCUAGCCUGUGGGAUCUGCUCAACCAGGCCUGUGUGUUCACUCACCUCCUGAGGGUACUGGGGACUGUAGGGUGGAGCCUGCCUGGAGGAGCAGGAGGUGGAUGGACUACAGCAAGCCCAGCUCAAAUGGAGCAGAACAGAGCACAAGGUCCCAAGAUGCUGAGCAGCUGCAGGAAUGCUGAAGAAUUUUGUUCUCCAAGCAAAUACCAGCUCAGCCGUACCUGUGCCCACUAGCAGGACUGUGGACUGACCAUAUUCCCUAAGAGUAUGGAAUAGGGGGAGUCAUUGAACCCUUAACCAGGAUUCCAGCCAUUUGUCCUAGCCAUUUGUUUGCAAUUCUUCCCUAAUUGUAUGUGGCUUAGAGUAUAUAGACUGGGGACAGUUGACUAAAGGAAGCUGUAUCUAUGUGACUAUUGGGGACACCACCAUCCAUGCUGGGUAAAAACUGCAGUGUAGCUGUUUGGGGUCACUCAAGCUCCUAUAUACAAUCCCUCACCUAUGCUCUCUAGGUAAGGCCAAUAAACUCCCUGGUUGAACUUUGA